GGCGCGUCUAAGGUAUGCGUACCUCGAGCCUGGUAUAAUAAAGAAAAUCCACGAUGCAAUAGCCGGAGCACAAAAGGACGAGAGAAUAAAUCAAAACGGCGUCGGUAAUGCGCGGCUCGUCGACGCAAGAAAGGCUUUAAGGUAUCAGAGUUUUAUGCGGCAUGAGAAAUCGCUGAUUUUCCCACGCGCGCAGUGGUACGCGCGCGCACAAGCGCUACCGGGACCGCAACGGAGGCGCAAUCGCGUUUGCAAAUGCGCCUUGAGGCCGUGUGCUCGCUCGUGCACUCGGGUGCCCGACGUUCGCGCUCGUUCCUUCUAUCGGAAAUAUAAUUGGCGCUUUGCAAAUCCAUUAACCGACCCCAUGUGGCAGGUGGCGUUGCCGUAUUACCGCCGCUGGGCCUGCUCGCUAGUAAUUCAUAGUUUCAUGCUUUCCACUGCUUAAAGACUUAAUGGAAGUUGCGCACGCAUACGUUCCAAGUUGUGCGCGCAUCGCCAUCGUUAUCUGUUACGCGUCUGUAGAAAAACAACCGUGCUCCCGUCCGUGAAAGAUAUAGAAAGUGUUAUAACGUUUGCAUGCUGACCAGGCCUCGCAACUCGUCGAGAUAAUCUAUUCCCGGCCGUGCACGAGGCUUGUUUUCAGGGACACGUGCCUGCUAAACGCCGCUAUAACCUCUCUAGGAGUUUCAGUCGAAUGGAAGAAGGAACAAGCGAUGAUUUAUGAAGUUUGCUCGACGCUUUGGAAACAGAGUGGAAAAAGGUGCUAUAUAAAUAGACGACUUCGAGGGAUUCAAAUAUUAUUUACCUGUUAGAAUAACGUUGGAAAUGUGAGAUAAUUAUAAGCACACGGUGAUGUGCGUAAUUUGAGUACCAUGAAGAUACUUAUGUCAAGACCUGGCGCGGAGCCCGCGCAAGACGGCAAAUAGCAAGGCACAAAGAUCCGUUCGUCCGCAAUGCGAUAUAAGACCAUGGGUUGGGUUAGAUAGAGGAUGCAUUUGAAGCUACCAUUAAGCCCGUGAUUGAUAAUGCCCGCAGACCCGUUCUGCGCCAUCGCGUCCGUUCGAUCAAGGUCUCCCUGAGUAUACCGAUCGCGUAAAAAACGAAAAGCGCGUGGCGGCUGUGGCGCGCAACAACGCAAAAUCACUGCAAAAAGCGAAAGAAGUGACAUCGAGUGCACUGUCACCGACAUUCCUCUUACAGCUCUAUAUCUGCCUUCUCUCCGGCAAGAAACGAUGAUUAACAACGAAAUUUCACGAUACAUGCAUAGUUUUAAGUUGGAAAAAAUUAGCAACUGAAUGUAAUUGAAUAUUCAUUGAAAUUCAUGGAACGUUGGUAUUAAAUAGAGAAAAAUUCAUGAAUGGGAAUUUCGUUAUUCUUACAAUUAAGUAUGAAAGAAGCGUAAAAUAGUUUACUUUGCUAAGUACAUACUUAGAGAUAAAGAGUAGAAUGUAUGGCGUGUCAACGCAUAAAAGAGAUAAAAAUAGCAUCGUUGAAGCAGUAUUCUUUUCAUCGAUGACGACGAUGACGAUGCAGCUGUUAACUAGCAAAAUGCCAUUAUUUACCCAACCUUGACGAUGAAAAGAGGGUAGGCAACUAUAGCUCGGACUAAAAUCUAGAAAACACGAGCGACAAAAAAUGACUUGUGGUGAAACGACAGUGACGGAGCAUGUGCUCUAUGAGAAUCAUCUUUCGUCGGCGAAGAUCAGAGCGUCCAACCUUGCUUGGGAAAAACGCUAAACGAGGUAUUUGCACGAUGAGUCGACGAAUCUUAUACACGAUGCACCCUUUGUUUUGCUUCGAAAAAUCUAUGAACGUGACGAGCCGUGUCAGGUAUUUAUCCUAUUUUGCGAAAUGGAUGUGCAUUUCAUUAAUUUUUUAACCUACUCUAUUAUACUGAUAUUACAGAGGAAAAAAUCGGCUAAAGUGUUCACAUACUUAUGAACGGUAGCGUAUGUCUGUCUUACUAACAUUACCAGCCUUAGUAACAUUAUAAAUAUUCCCUAUUUUGUGAUAGAAAGGUGAUUCCUUAAAAUUUAAUACUUCACGCACAAUUAUCCACAUCAAGAAGAUUAUAGAGCUAAAGGGAUAGACACUGGUUGAAGAAGUUCGUUGCAUGGAUUUCUCCGUAACGGGGAAACGUAGCUUCCCCGAGAAUAAGCCAUCAGAAAUUGCGCGAAAAGCAUUAUGACCGGUGCCAAGUUUCGUGUGGCACGCGAGAGAUUACUUUCUAGAGCUCUCCGGCAUACCUUCCAGUUGGAAGGUUUCCUCUAGCUCUAGGAAACGUCCGGAUAUGAUAAUAAGCGAUGCUCGCGCCAACGUUCUACGUUGAGCACGAUUCGAACCCUCGGGGCUACGUACUGGGUUCGCAUCAACAGCUCUCGGAGAACCAAUCCUCUUCCCUGAAGUCGCUGUCACGACCACCUGGAACGUCUCUGUUCCGUGGAUGGUCUUUUAAAUCCCUAGCAUCUUUCCAACAGUCACGCCUCCUCAGUUUGUUUCGCGUGCUUUCCAACAACAUUCACAGUGUUCCCAUGUUCUCCAUAAAACAGCUAUUUCUCACAAAGAAACUUCGACUCUGGUGGAAUAUCAAUGACAAAUUCAUACGAACAUGGUAAAAUUGAAUUUUAAUGGUGACCAGUGAUUGCCAUAUCUGGAGAUUUCCUUUUGUAAAAGUUAUAAUUGUUAUAGCGUCCUCCUUAGUUGAACUACUCAUCUACUGUAUUCUCAUCUUUUAAGAAAUGUUAAAAUAUUGUAGUUUCCCUUGCUUCAUAUUUUAGUUAUAUAUAUAGGGUAUAACUGUUUGCUAGAAAUUUGAAAUUUUCUUAGAUCUGUGAUAAAUGCUGUAAGAUUAUUCCAAAAUAAGAUAUACUCGUCUUCUCCGGUUAAUAGGUUAAAUAGAAGUUAUUAGCAUUAUUCUAAACUACGUUGAAAUAGAACUAGAGAACUCCAGUUUCUCCUAAAAAGACAUACGUUUUUUCGCAUCGAGCAAUAUUUCUAAGUGUAAAUAGCAGACUUACAAUACGCUUGUAACGAUACACGUGAUACACGCGAGAGCCCAAGAGAUCCGCUUGUCCACAUAAUUAAGUAAAAACUACGACGCGAAGGUAGGUCGCAAACGCGUCUUCACGUAGUAAACUCUUCAAUUGCGCAAAUAUCUCGGAGCCUCGAUGGAAGAAAUUAGCAUAAUGCCGGGAAGCAUUAGGCUCGUGAGCGCAAAUUGUGCGGCGGGCAUCGGCUCAAAGAAAUACACAAGGGAAUAAGGAGGAAGAGACAGGCUUAUGUAGAGGGUGGAACAAGGAGCAAGGAGAAGAAACUAAAGAAAAACAAGAAAAAAAAUAACAAGAAAAAUCAGGAGCACGUCGUUCAUUUUUAUAUGCAUGAAAAGUCAUCAGUAGUUGGCUGGUUGAAACAUGAAUAGGAUCUGUCCACCGGAGAAUGACUUGAGCAAACUGUCGCUAAUCGUUACUGCCUGUGUGCGAAACGCGUCGUUUUUGCCUCUGAUUCGCGUCUUGUUACCACGUUCAGGUAAUUUACCACAGAAGCUCAUAUCAGGCGCCUUCGUGGGUUCCAUGGAAGAAAUCCAAGGAGUUGUACUAUCCAUGUAAUCGUAUUUAUGGCAAUACGUGAUUACAUUUCUUUUAACCGGAGGCAAGAAAGAUAAAGGAUAUGCCUCCGUCAUUUUUUCUUUUUUGUAGCGUUGGGAUGCGCUAUCUUAUUAGCACUGUAAAGAAGGCGUGUAACCAGCGAAACAAAAAAGGAUCGAUAAAAGUGAUCUUCGUCUUGUUCUUUUUAAACUGGAAUGCAUAUAUCAUUUGUACAUCCUGUUUAAAUAACAAAGGGAAAGGAAUAUUUGCUCGUAAUCGGUAAAAAUUACCUUCGCCUUCUUCUUUUUAAACCGGAAUGCGUAUAUCAUUUGUACAUCCUGUUUCAAUAACAAAGGGAAAGGAAAAUUUACUCGUAAUCGGUAAAAAUUAUCUUCAAUUUCUUUUUUAUAAAUUGUAAUACAUACACGUACCAUUUUUGCAACCUGUUUAAAUGACAAAGGGGAAAGGAAAAUUUGCUCCUUUUCUCUGCUACCAUAUUGGUACUAUUCCACCAUAGAACAUAGCGAGAAUAAUUCCACUCAUCUUAAUAAUGAUACUUGAUCGACGAUAUGACGUUAGAAUCGAAAGAGAGUUCUCUAGCUCACCGUGAAAACCGAGAGCUCGUUACGCGAUGACGACACAUCGGAGAUCCAUCGAAAGUCCAUCCCGUCUGAACGUGAAAGUGUUGCAAGAAAAGCAGGUUAUUACAGGUAGUUACAGGUGGUUACAGGUAGUUGAAGUACCGCCAGCUCUCCUUCGCACUUCCUAAAGGCCGUUCCCCGGCCUACGAGCACGAUCUCGACCGCACACUCGUGUGCUCCUUCCUUUCCCGUGACGCAAUAUAUCGUGUCUUUCAAAGCAAUUCCUGUGGUUCGAGACACCAAUAUGGACACGCGCGUAUACACACAGAGAAAGAGAAAGAAAGAGAGGAGGAGACAGGUAUACGUUUUCGUGCGGUGUAACUGACCUGUCUCGAAGAAACAUAAGUUGCGCCGCGCGGCGACCGCAGACCUGUCCAUUUCGUUCUUUUUCCCUUUCUUUUCUCGUUUCGUUGCCCUUUGCAAUCGGAAUGCCAAGCCGGCCAGCUGCAACGAAAGUAAAUGCGCCGGGGAAGACAUUGAAUUAGCGCGAUAUAUCGUGCACGGUUUAUCUCCUCCCGUGGCUUUCCUGACCGCCGGACAAAUUCUUUGAUAGACUGUGCGCCAGCCGUCUACGCCACUAAAAUUACCACAUUCGCCGGCUUUACGACUGCGCGUAAUUAAAAACUUACAUUUUUAUGACUUCCCAACGUCUAUCUACGGUCUUUCUUCGUAGAUCAUUUGAUUGAUGAUAUACCUUUCGGGAAAUGACGUUAUAUCUAGUGACUUUUACAGUGUAGAAUUACAUAUAGGGAUAUUAGUUGUUUUAUAAGUUCAGCCAAGUCACUUAGCAUUUAUGGUAGAACAUGUUUUAAUUAAAGAGAUACCCUGUGUUAAGAGAAACAUGAAAGUUUUGUUACGUUGUAAUAUAAUGUAUUACGAAUCAA